rnacentral:rRNA from 1 species
UACGGAGGGGGUUAGCGUUGUUCGGAAUUACUGGGCGUAAAGCGUACGUAGGCGGAUCAGCAAGUAUGGGGUGAAAUCCCGGGGCUCAACCCCGGAACUGCCUCGUAAACUGUUGGUCUUGAGUUCGAGAGAGGUGAGUGGAAUUCCGAGUGUAGAGGUGAAAUUCGUAGAUAUUCGGAGGAACACCAGUGGCGAAGGCGGCUCACUGGCUCGAUACUGACGCUGAGGUACGAAAGUGUGGGGAGCAAACAGG